UAUAAAGGUUCAUACAAUGGGGUGGA
rnacentral:piRNA from 1 species